CAGCCGCCGCGGUAAUACGAAGGGGGCUAGCGUUGUUCGGAAUUACUGGGCGUAAAGGGCGCGUAGGCGGCCAUUCAAGUUAGAUGUGAAAGCCCUGGGCUCAACCUAGGAAUUGCAUUUGAUACUGUUUGGCUUGAGUUCGGGAGAGGUGAGUGGAAUUCCCAGUGUAGAGGUGAAAUUCGUAGAUAUUGGGAAGAACACCAGUGGCGAAGGCGGCUCACUGGACCGACACUGACGCUGAUGCACGAAAGCUAGGGGAGCAAACAGGAUUAGAUACCCGAGUAGUCCCUGUCUCUUAUAA
rnacentral:rRNA from 1 species